ACGAACGCUGGCGGCGUGCCUAAUACAUGCAAGUAGAACGCUGAAGAGAGGAGCUUGCUCUUCUUGGAUGAGUUGCGAACGGGUGAGUAACGCGUAGGUAACCUGCCUUGUAGCGGGGGAUAACUAUUGGAAACGAUAGCUAAUACCGCAUAACAAUGGAUGACACAUGUCAUUUAUUUGAAAAGGGGCAAUUGCUCCACUACAAGAUGGACCUGCGUUGUAUUAGCUAGUAGGUGAGGUAACGGCUCACCUAGGCGACGAUACAUAGCCGACCUGAGAGGGUGAUCGGCCACACUGGGACUGAGACACGGCCCAGACUCCUACGGGAGGCAGCAGUAGGGAAUCUUCGGCAAUGGGGGCAACCCUGACCGAGCAACGCCGCGUGAGUGAAGAAGGUUUUCGGAUCGUAAAGCUCUGUUGUAAGUCAAGAACGAGUGUGAGAGUGGAAAGUUCACACUGUGACGGUAGCUUACCAGAAAGGGACGGCUAACUACGUGCCAGCAGCCGCGGUAAUACGUAGGUCCCGAGCGUUGUCCGGAUUUAUUGGGCGUAAAGCGAGCGCAGGCGGUUUGAUAAGUCUGAAGUUAAAGGCUGUGGCUCAACCAUAGUUCGCUUUGGAAACUGUCAAACUUGAGUGCAGAAGGGGAGAGUGGAAUUCCAUGUGUAGCGGUGAAAUGCGUAGAUAUAUGGAGGAACACCGGUGGCGAAAGCGGCUCUCUGGUCUGUAACUGACGCUGAGGCUCGAAAGCGUGGGGAGCGAACAGGAUUAGAUACCCUGGUAGUCCACGCCGUAAACGAUGAGUGCUAGGUGUUGGAUCCUUUCCGGGAUUCAGUGCCGCAGCUAACGCAUUAAGCACUCCGCCUGGGGAGUACGACCGCAAGGUUGAAACUCAAAGGAAUUGACGGGGGCCCGCACAAGCGGUGGAGCAUGUGGUUUAAUUCGAAGCAACGCGAAGAACCUUACCAGGUCUUGACAUCCCGAUGCUAUUUCUAGAGAUAGAAAGUUACUUCGGUACAUCGGUGACAGGUGGUGCAUGGUUGUCGUCAGCUCGUGUCGUGAGAUGUUGGGUUAAGUCCCGCAACGAGCGCAACCCCUAUUGUUAGUUGCCAUCAUUCAGUUGGGCACUCUAGCGAGACUGCCGGUAAUAAACCGGAGGAAGGUGGGGAUGACGUCAAAUCAUCAUGCCCCUUAUGACCUGGGCUACACACGUGCUACAAUGGUUGGUACAACGAGUUGCGAGUCGGUGACGGCAAGCUAAUCUCUUAAAGCCAAUCUCAGUUCGGAUUGUAGGCUGCAACUCGCCUACAUGAAGUCGGAAUCGCUAGUAAUCGCGGAUCAGCACGCCGCGGUGAAUACGUUCCCGGGCCUUGUACACACCGCCCGUCACACCACGAGAGUUUGUAACACCCGAAGUCGGUGAGGUAACCUUUUGGAGCCAGCCGCCUAAGGUGGGAUAGAUGAUUGGGGUG
rnacentral:rRNA from 1 species